rnacentral:tRNA from 1 species
GGAUAUAGCUCAGUGGUAGAGUGUGUGCCUGGCAUGCACGAGGUCCUGGGUUCAAUCUCCAGUACCUCCA